GCGCGAGCCUGAACCAGCCAAGUAGCGUGAAGGAUGACUGCCCUAUGGGUUGUAAACUUCUUUUAUAAGGGAAUAAAGUGAGGCACGUGUGCCUUAUUGUAUGUACCUUAGGAAUAAGCAUCGGCUAACUCCGUGCCAGCAGCCGCGGUAAUACGUAGGUGGCGAGCGUUGUCCGGAAUUACUGGGCGUAAAGGGUGUGCAGGCGGAUAUUUAAGUGAGAUGUGAAAGACCCGGGCUUAACUCGGGCAGUGCAUUUCAAACUGGAUAUCUAGAGUGCAGGAGAGGAGAACGGAAUUCCUAGUGUAGCGGUGAAAUGCGUAGAGAUUAGGAAGAACACCAGUGGCGAAGGCGGUUCUCUGGACUGUAACUGACGCUGAGGCACGAAAGCGUGGGUAGCAAACA
rnacentral:rRNA from 1 species